rnacentral:rRNA from 1 species
CUACGGGACGCACCAGUGGGGAAUUUUGGACAAUGGGGGAAACCCUGAUCCAGCCAUGCCGCGUGAGUGAAGAAGGCCUUCGGGUUGUAAAGCUCUUUCGGACAGAAAGAAAUCUUCUGGGCUAAUACCCCGGGAGGAUGACGGUACUGUAAGAAGAAGCACCGGCUAACUACGUGCCAGCAGCCGCGGUAAUACGUAGGGUGCGAGCGUUAAUCGGAAUUACUGGGCGUAAAGCGUGCGCAGGUGGGUGUGUAAGACAGGUGUGAAAUCCCCGGGCUUAACCUGGGAACUGCGUUUGUGACUGCACGGCUAGAGUACGGCAGAGGGGGGUGGAAUUCCUGGUGUAGCAGUGGAAUGCGUAGAUAUCAGGAGGAACAUCGAUGGCGAAGGCAGCCCCCUGGGCCUGUACUGACACUCAUGCACGAAAGCGUGGGGAGCAAACAGGAUUAGAUACCCCGGUAGUC